rnacentral:piRNA from 1 species
UGCUUUCAUUGUGUCCCAACGGUU